AACGAACGCUGGCGGCAUGCCUAACACAUGCAAGUCGAACGAGACCUUCGGGUCUAGUGGCGCACGGGUGCGUAACGCGUGGGAACCUGCCCUUAGGUUCGGAAUAACUCCCCGAAAGGGGUGCUAAUACCGGAUAAUGUCUUCGGACCAAAGAUUUAUCGCCUUUGGUUGGGCCCGCGUUGGAUUAGCUAGUUGGUAGGGUAAAAGCCUACCAAGGCGACGAUCCAUAGCUGGUCUGAGAGGAUGAUCAGCCACACUGGGACUGAGACACGGCCCAGACUCCUACGGGAGGCAGCAGUGGGGAAUAUUGGACAAUGGGCGAAAGCCUGAUCCAGCAAUGCCGCGUGAGUGAUGAAGGCCUUAGGGUUGUAAAGCUCUUUUAACCGGGAUGAUAAUGACAGUACCGGGAGAAUAAGCUCCGGCUAACUCCGUG
rnacentral:rRNA from 1 species